rnacentral:rRNA from 1 species
AACGAACGCUGGCGGCAUGCCUAACACAUGCAAGUCGAACGAGACCUUCGGGUCUAGUGGCGCACGGGUGCGUAACGCGUGGGAACCUGCCCUUAGGUUCGGAAUAACUCCCCGAAAGGGGUGCUAAUACCGGAUAAUGUCUUCGGACCAAAGAUUUAUCGCCUUUGGAUGGGCCCGCGUUGGAUUAGCUAGUUGGUAGGGUAAAAGCCUACCAAGGCGACGAUCCAUAGCUGGUCUGAGAGGAUGAUCAGCCACACUGGGACUGAGACACGGCCCAGACUCCUACGGGAGGCAGCAGUGGGCAAUAUUGGACAAUGGGCGAAAGCCUGAUCCAGCGAUGCCGCGUGAGUGAUGAAGGCCUUAGGGUUGUAAAGCUCUUUUACCCGGGAUGAUAAUGACGGUACCGGGAGAAUAAGCUCCGGCUAACUCCGUG